UACGUAGGGUGCGAGCGUUAAUCGGAAUUACUGGGCGUAAAGGGUGCGCAGGCGGUUUCGUAAGACAGCUGUGAAAUCCCCGGGCUUAACCUGGGAACUGCGGUUGUGACUGCGAGGCUAGAGUACGGCAGAGGGGGGUGGAAUUCCACGUGUAGCAGUGAAAUGCGUAGAUAUGUGGAGGAACACCAAUGGCGAAGGCAGCCCCCUGGGUCGAUACUGACGCUCAUGCACGAAAGCGUGGGGAG
rnacentral:rRNA from 1 species